AUGGCAACAACCAAUCGUAUGUGAGCGCUUAUUAAGUCUGUUAUAUGAUUAGUUCUUGCUUGUAGUUCUUCUUCCUCCGUCCACAGCCGCGGCUUGGUGCCAAAUCUUCAAAACUGUAGCGUUGUACACGUGAGACGUGAGUGCGUACACAGCGAGCACGUGCUUUGACGUGCUUGCAUGUGUAAACCACGACGCGAAUUCAUCGCAGGACAAUUUUUGGGACGCGCAAUACGUCACGGGGACACGAUGCACGCUGACUGAGAUCGCACGGGUUCCUCGCGAGUGAGAAAAAGAGAAAGAGAGAGGAGUGAGCGAAGAAGAGAAGGAAGGAAAAAAGAGAAAAAACGAAGCGGGGAGGGGAAACGCGAGAGUAACAGAAGUGCGUGUGGCCGGUGUGGCGGUUGACCUGCCGCCACAUACAGGAUAGCCUUCCCCUCCUCCCCCUUAGGAUUUCUCUCGACUUGCAUUUACACUCCGUCGCCAAGAAAAUAAUUAAGGAAAGCAGAAUGGGUCAGCCAACAGUUUGCUUAGAUGAAACAACUACUUGAAACACAUCACCUGUGCUUGAACGCAAGAGUUUUAACAUAAGAGUUGAUGUACACUCGUUUAAUUAAAAAUUCUGUUCAAUGAGAAAAAUUGAAAUACUGUGCCACUUUUUUAUGAGAUCUAAUGUUAAUAUAGUCAUUUAGUUUUGCAUAGGCUUGUUUAGCAGUAUAUUAAUGACAAGAAGAUUUUAAAGUGCUUUAGUCUAGCAACAUUAUCUCACAGUAUAUUUAACAUGUAUAAACCGAUUUUCAGGAAUUCAUGAACAAUUAUUGGAUAACUUGUAUGAUGUCGAAACGUUUUAAAAAAGAUAUUUCGGAUUUAAGUGAUCGUCAGUUCAACCGUCGAAUAAAAAAUGAAACGGAAAAAGCACUUGGAUAUGUUUUCGAAAACAUAAAAGAUGCUUCAUAUCACAUAAUAUGCAUGGAUUGAUACAUGUUGUACAAGAUGUAAAAACAUUUGGAUUUUUAGACAAUUACCAUAAUAAAGAUACAGAAAAAUUUAUUUUACAAACUUGUUUGAAGUACGUUAAAAUUUGUAUAAUAAAGAAUAUUGAAAUAUA